CCUGGUUGAUCCUGCCAGUAGUCAUAUGCUUGUGUUAAAGAUUAAGCCAUGCAUGUCUAAGUAUAAAUUCAUUCUUACGGUGAAACUGCGAAUGGCUCAUUAAAUCAGUAAUUAUCUAUUUGGUGGUACAAAUUUACUUGGAUAACCCUGUUAAUUGUAGAGCUAAUACAUGCCCGAAAACCCGAGCCGCAAGGCGAAGGUUGCACUUGUUAGCUUUGAAGCCAACGAGGGCAUUCCAAACUCUGCUAGCAGCAAUGUUAGUAGGGGUCCUCACUCGGCGAGUUAUAACAAUUGAGCGAAUCGCAUGAUCUAGAAUCGGCGAUGCUCCAUUCGAAUUUCUGACCUAUCAACUUUCGAUGGUAGGAUCGGGGCCUACCAUGGUUGUAACGGGUAACGGGGAAUUAGGGUUUGAUUCCGGAGAGGGAGCUUGAGACACGGCUACCACUUCCAAGGAAGGCAGCAGGCGCGUAAAUUACCCAAUCCCAAUACGGGGAGGCAGUGACAACAAAUAACAAUACAGGACCCAUACGGGUUUUGUAAUUGGAAUGAGAACAAUCUAAAUCCCUUAACGAGAACCAAUUGGAGGGCAAGUCUGGUGCCAGCAGCCGCGGUAAUUCCAGCUCCAAUAGUGUAUAUUAAAGUUGUUGCGGUUAAAAAGCUCGUAGUUGGAUUUCGUAGUUUGAACCAUUGAUCUGCGCUUUGUCGUAUGUAUUAAGGGUUCAACUACUUCCUUCUGGUACUCGCCUCGGCACUUAAUUGUGUUGGGGUUUCCAAGGAUGCAGGCAAUGAGUUUCCGCUUGUUGUUUGUGUCUGGAGUUCCAGAUCUUUACUUUGAAAAAAUUAGAGUGUUCAAAGCAGGCGGAUUCAGCCAUAAAUACUUCAGCAUGGGAUAAUACAUAGGACUCUGUUCCUAUUUCGUUGGUUUCUGGGAAUCAGAGUAAUGAUUAAUAGGGAUAGUUGGGGUGAUUCAUAUUUCGCCGUCAGAGGUGAAAUUCUUGGACCGGCGAAAGAUGGACUACUGCGAAAGCAUUUCACAAGGAUGUUUUCAUUAAUCAAGAACGAAAGUAGGGGGAUCGAAGGCGAUUAGACACCGCCGUAGUCUCUACCAUAAACGAUGCCGACCAGGGAUUGGUGGACGUUAACCAUUAUGACUCCUCCAGCACCUUGUGAGAAAUCAUAAGUGUUUGGGUUUCGGGGGGAGUAUGGUCGCAAGGCUGAAACUUAAAGGAAUUGACGGAAGGGCACCACCAGGAGUGGAACCUGCGGCUUAAUUUGACUCAACACGGGGAAACUUACCAGGUCCGGACAGUAGAAGGAUUGACAGAUUGAGAGCUCUUUCUUGAUUUGCUGGGUGGUGGUGCAUGGCCGUUCUUAGUUGGUGGAGUGAUUUGUCUGGUUAAUUCCGAUAACGAACGAGACCUUAACCUGCUAAAUAGUCGCGCAAGUUGGCAU
rnacentral:rRNA from 1 species